rnacentral:rRNA from 1 species
AUUUUGGGCGUAAGGGCUCGCAGGCGGUUUCUUAAGUCUGAUGUGAAAGCCCCCGGCUCAACCGGGGAGGGUCAUUGGAAACUGGGAAACUUGAGUGCAGAAGAGGAGAGUGGAAUUCCACGUGUAGCGGUGAAAUGCGUAGAGAUGUGGAGGAACACCAGUGGCGAAGGCGACUCUCUGGUCUGUAACUGACGCUGAGGAGCGAAAGCGUGGGGAGCGAACAGGAUUAGAUACCCUGGUAGUCCACGCCGUAAACGAUGAGUGCUAAGUGUUAGGGGGUUUCCGCCCCUUAGUGCUGCAGCUAACGCAUUAAGCACUCCGCCUGGGGAGUACGGUCGCAAGACUGAAACUCAAAGGAAUUGACGGGGGCCCGCACAAGCGGUGGAGCAUGUGGUUUAAUUCGAAGCAACGCGAAGAACCUUACCAGGUCUUGACAUCCUCUGACGACCCUAGAGAUAGGGCUUUCCCUUCGGGGACAGAGUGACAGGUGGUGCAUGGUUGUCGUCAGCUCGUGUCGUGAGAUGUUGGGUUAAGUCCCGCAACGAGCGCAACCCUUGAUCUUAGUUGCCAGCAUUUAGUUGGGCACUCUCAGGUGACUGCCGGUGACAAACCGGAGGAAGGUGGGGAUGACGUCAAAUCAUCAUGCCCCUUAUGACCUGGGCUACACACGUGCUACAAUGGACAGAACA